AACGAACGCUGGCGGCAGGCCUAACACAUGCAAGUCGAACGGAUGUAGCAAUACUUUAGUGGCGCACGGGUGCGUAACACGUGGGAACAUACCCUUGAGUAAGGAAUAAUGUCUGGAAACGGACACUAAUACCUUAUAAUGACUUCGGUCCAAAGAUUUAUCGCUCAAGGAUUGGCCCGCGUCUGAUUAGGUAGUUGGUGAGGUAACGGCUCACCAAGCCUACGAUCAGUAGCUGGUCUGAGAGGAUGAUCAGCCACACUGGAACUGAGACACGGUCCAGACUCCUACGGGAGGCAGCAGUGAGGAAUAUUGCGCAAUGGGGGAAACCCUGACGCAGCCAUGCCGCGUGAGUGAAGAAGGCCUUCGGGUUGUAAAGCUCUUUCAGUCGUGAAGAUAAUGACGGUAGCGACAGAAGAAGCCCCGGCUAAAUUCGUGCCAGCCGCCGCGGUAA
rnacentral:rRNA from 1 species